rnacentral:rRNA from 1 species
UACGUAGGGUGCGAGCGUUGUCCGGAAUUAUUGGGCGUAAAGAGCUUGUAGGCGGUCUGUCGCGUCUGCUGUGAAAAUCCGGGGCUCAACCCCGGACUUGCAGUGGGUACGGGCAGACUAGAGUGUGGUAGGGGAGACUGGAAUUCCUGGUGUAGCGGUGAAAUGCGCAGAUAUCAGGAGGAACACCGAUGGCGAAGGCAGAUCUCUGGGCCACUACUGACGCUGAGAAGCGAAAGCAUGGGGAGCGAACAGG